AAUAAAAAAUUAAAUGAUUGUUUUAUUAAUUUAACUACUUCUCAUGCAAUAAAUCAACAUCACAGCAUAUUUUCUUCUCGUUUUUAUUUGCAUACAUAAAAUUGCAUUGCAUUUCACUGGGGACUUGGAAAAAAAAUAAGAAAAAUUACAGAUAUGACGCGACUAAAACGAAUUCAAAAGAAGGCAGAUUCAAUGUUCUAUAAAUGACACUUGAAAGAUUGGCCAUACAAUUAUGUAAAUUGCUUGUAUGAAACAUGUUGGUUGAUAAGUAAUAAUUAUUUUAAUAUGAGUGUAAGAUUUGUUAUGCCUGUUUUCAACUGUUUUUUCUUUGCAGAAUAUGAUUGACAGAAUUAAAACAAGCAAUUUUCAUUUUCUUCACUUCGAACAUUCUAGGACAUAAAGGAUAUUCACAAUUAAUGUUUUUCAAUUACGUUCAUGAACGUUGAUAAAUUAUUCGAUGGUAGUAAAUACUGUGACAGAGUGUCCAAUAUUCAAUUUCUGCACUGUUCGCGCCUAGAUUUGUUACGAGUUAUUAUUCACACAGUAUAUAUCAUGUCGAUAACCAUUUCAAUUAGCCAAUGAAAGCAUUUUCGAGGCAAUCUCAUAGCCAAGAUCUUGUUUCACGAGACCACCUGGUAUGCAACAAGUCCGACAACUUGUAGACAGAGUCACGAGUGAAGAAUAUAUCGCCCUCUAUCUUGUUUGUAUACGAUCAUUAUGGAUUAUAUUGAUGUAUUCAGUAUCUUUACGAAAGUCUUGCUCAGUGACAUGUGUUACAAAAGGCACACCUUCAAUCUUAAGUAUUAGGCAAUUUAUGGAGAAAUAGAAAAUUCAAUAAAAAUGAAGACGAAGUUACGACAAACUUUAUCAAACUUCUAAAAUACGUACAAUUUUCUAACAUGAAAUGUGAAAUUUACGAUUGAAGUAUUCAAAUAUUAUAUUUAAACAUUUAUGAUAUUCUAUAUAACAGUAUCACUUUGUGAAAGGAUACGGAAUUGAAAUCAUUGAUGAACAUGGUAAUAAUAUUUUACGAAUCGAACGAAACUAUGGCGAAAAUACACGUGAGAUAUCGUAAUUUUCCAUAUUCGGUAGCAAUGUAAAUGAUGUCUCGUUGAUAUUGAUAUUCUAUUGUAUUAUUUUUAUCGAUGAACGUCUGUCACGUUUGAGAAUUCUUGUGGGAGGAUCCAUGCAAAGAUAUACAUUAUGGAUUCCAAAAUUGGCUUUGACAUAUAGACCAUAAAACACAGAGUUUACAAGCUUGAAAAUAGCCCGGGUUCCCGAGGUUAUUUGAGUUCUUAAAAACCAAUCAAUUCUCUUUCUUUCCCUUUCUCUAAAUUUACAAGCCCAUAACUAAUAGAUUUCUUAACACUUAAGGAAAAAAGAUACAUAAUUCCUAUAUUUUCUUCUGUAUGAAGAGCAUCUAACUACGUAAUAAUACCUGUUACGUUUCGCACAAAUCAACAGAUGAUUUAUGGGCAACAAAUCCACGACAACUAUAACACACGCUUACGUGUAGAUUUAUAAAUACCAACAUCCACGCGUUUUUAUAAAUCCGACAUUAAUCAAUUGCAUGACAUUCGUGCAAUUUAUUAUAAGAUUUGUUAAUCUCCUUAAGGAACCUCCUAAUCAAUUUUUAAAAGAGGCAAGUGCACUACCACCAGCCGAGAUUCAUCGAGAUUCGACGAGGCGUCAAAUCAAAAAAUUCCCUCUCCUACCGAAAGAGAAAAGGAAAUUUCUUUCUCCUCGUGAAGGGACGAUUAACAAACCGAGCCUCAUAAAUUUUCUCGGUAAGGUCGGCCCAACGAGGGCGCACGCAUCUUUUAUAGCCCUGGACGUGACAGAGGGAUCGAUGGAUACGAUUCCGCUCGGAUUGUGCACACAGCGACAAAUCGUGUUCACGACUUCCGAUCUCGAUUCUCGAUUACCCCUCCGUACCGGUGUCGAUAAUUAUAAACAAAAGGGGAAAAGGGGGACGGAAUGAGGGGUCGCGGAGCGACGAGAAAGAGAGAGAGAGAGAGAGAAGGCUUCUUGGAAAGGGCGUUUAUAAAUCACGAAUCGCAGGCAACCCCUAAUCUUCCACCCUGUUUCUCGAGCCUCGCUGUCUUCCUCCUGUAGUACUUUUCUUCCCCGCUCCACUCGUAUUUUGAUUUUGCACGCGAAACCACCAUCACUCCACCAUUCAUCAUCCGACGCAGAGCUGCCUUCUCUCUUUCUGUUUCCGCUUUUCCAGCCCCUUAUAUAUAUAAAAUAUAUAUAUAUAAGCAAUCUCCCUCCAUGGCCCGAUGAAAUUCGUCUCGAAUCACUGGAUAAUUAAGCGGCGAGCGAGUGAAAUAAAGGAAGAGGAGAUUCGAGAAGGCGAUCACCUCCGGCCAGCGUGGAAUGAUAAUGGGAAUAAUAUCUUCAUGGUUGGCGAGCUACGGCCAAGUAUAACGGUCAACGAUUCCAUCCGUGCGUCCGUACGCGGAGGAACUGGCAAUGAUUCAUAAGAAUUGGAAUGGGGAAGGGUGGGCCGGAGGGGAGGCGUGGAUUAAUUGAUACCGAGAAUGGGAAUUAAGGCUGGAAUCGGCGAAGGUUUCGCGAUGCUGCUUGGGAGAAGAUUAAUCGCGCGCGAACGAGACGGGGAAAGUUUGGAAAAUUGGAUAAUCCUUGUUGUAAUUUUUUUUAGGAAUUUUUUAAUUCUCUGUUCUUCUAGUUUAUACGGAGUGAGGACUAAUGAUUGUUAACAAGAAAAAGGAAGAAAUGAAUAUGGAAAAAAUUAAGAUACAAGGUUAAGGUUGAGAUCUUUUGUGUAUUCAAUUAUUUUAUCGUAUGAGAUCCACUUUUCAAGUCGAACGAUAGUGUUACAGUCGAUAUUUUCACGAGAAUUUACGAGUCGUUGGUCAGAGAACGAUACUUUAAUAAACCUAUAUUCGAUGCAUCGUGCAUAAGAGAACUUCGAACGUAUAUAAUAAAUCCUUGUUCAGACUUAUUGUUCCUUGGGGGCCCGACGCGAGGAAGAGAACAAGUAAAAGAAGAAAUCUUCAUAAUAGAGACUCCUACGGUACCUUCGUGAACAAAUGUGAGAACAUCGAAGCUGCUUGUUACCAAAGGAUUCAUGCUUCUUCGACAGAAUCGAGCUCCUAGAAACUCUAUUUAAAUUCCUUUACACCGUGUAACCGUGAUUAAGUACAAGUUAUCCUAGCAAUUGAUGAUUUUUGUCCAAAAGAAAAGUAAAAUCAUUCUUCUUCUCAAAGAGUAAAAAAAUCAAAGAACAGAAGAAAAACAAUUAAUCAAAAAACUCGAACUUGAAAGAGGACAACCAAAGGAUACCGCAACCAGCUUUUACGAGAAGAAUAUAUAAAUUUAUAUAUCGAAAGAUAUACACUCUUUCUGUAAUUACAGUUGUCGACAGGAUGAUAAAGUAACCUUAGAACCUUUCACACACGCGAAUUCCUCCUGCGAGCAUCGCCAAUUUUUCGUUCCUCAUCGAUGAAAACGUACACGACAUAUACAUAUAUCUAUACGUGUAUAUAUAUAUAUAUAUAUAUACAUUGACUCGCUAAAAUAUAUUAAUCGGUCGUACGACAAGUAGAAAAAUGGAAUUAUCCCGGGCACAUCCACUGUCGUCACAGUCGAGAACGAUUGAUCGUUGGUGGAUGAUGAUCAAUCGACGAGGCAGCAGGCCGGACGUCAAAACGGCGCGGUAUCCUGAAUGAUCUGUGACCAAUACGAGUCCCCUCAUCGGGGAAGUUCCUUCGCACCGUCCCGUGCUGCAGGGAGUCUGCGUGGUUACAGGUGUCCGUCGAGCCGUCCCGCAGGAUUUGCCGGUCGUCGUGGAGGUGGAAUCCUCCUACUACUACUCUAUUUCCUCCUACUUCACCUACUCGUUUUUCGUUGGACGAGGAACCGGCCACGGGGAUGGCGAUCAGAGUGUGAACGCGAGCACACGAGUAAGGGAGGAGGCGAGAAACUGGUCAAAGAUCCGUGGCUACGAGCAGCUAGAGCCUCUGGUGAACGGAGAGGAUCGUACCUGCAACGAGAGGAUCCACCGGUGUUCAUCGUAUCGAGCAAGGAGCAAAGCGAUACGACGCUUUGUCGACGUUAUAAAAAUAAUCAGAAUGAUUUUUAUUAGGACUUGGAAAAGCGAGAAUUUUGGAUUUGGUCUUUUAAAAAUGUUUUAGCAUCCCUUGCUGUAAAUAUAGCGAUAUAUUCUUUGCUGUAUUGUUUAAAUGAAGCAGAUGCAAGGGGAAGAUGAAAGUGUCAAGAAUUCAGGACAAGUAAUUCUCUAAUUAAGUAUUCUUACCGUAAUAUCGUCACUUACGUUUAUAGUUCUACUAAAAUUGCACAUAUAUUUCCCUUCUUAAACGUAAAUGAUAAAAUAAGUUAAUUUAUGAAAAUUUGUAUUAUGGUAUAAUUUAAUUUUUUAAUAAUUUAAUUUUCCGUUCAACUCAAAAUAGGAUUUGAGAUUGUUCUAUUUUUAUUCGUAAUAUAUUUACUGUUUAUCCAAAGAAUGUGGUAAGCCGGGCAAACAGUUAACUAUUGAACCAAUUACGUGUACGAUUUGCCAAUUAGUUUCGAAGAGAAAGCGGGAUCGUAUAUUAUUCGAGAACUCCAAGUUACCAUUAGAAAUAUUACACAGAAAGUAUCUAGAAAGAGCCGGUUGUUUAUUCUCCAGUAGUCGUUUGGUUUUCUAAUUUUUCGUUUUUCUCUAAUAUUUUGAUAUUUUCAUUAAAUAAUUUUGUCGAAGAAAGAAAAACGAAAGAAAUACGGAAGAAUCUAUUUUCGAUUUGAACAAUGGAUUUCUACUUUCAUUCGUCUCUUUUUCGCUAAUAAAUUAUGCUCAAUCUUUCGAUUUAUUCGUUUUAUUAUUAUGCUCUAAUAAAGUAAUAUACGUGUAUUCUUAUAUUUUAUAAAUAUCGAAGAUUAAUGUUGUAAAAAUUCAUAUUUAUAUAAAUACAUUUCCAUUUUAUUUUUAAUUACGUCAAUGGAUAGAAUUUACGUAAUGCGCGAACACAAAAUGCUUACCCCAAACUGUUUUGUAGCCUGUGCGGAUCGAGGAUUCGCGUAAUAUGGCGUACAAAUCGUUACAAGAGCGUUAAUGGUAAUUAACAAAUGAGGCAAUUAAUACUAAUGACUGUUCAAUUUGUUGAUUACUUGAAGAGAUUGAACGCGUGCAAAACGUUCGUACAAAACUUUAUUUCGAAAUCCCAUAUAAUUCAAUAGCCUCUCCUUUUUCCCCUCCAAUAACAUUUAUGAAUCUUUAAUUUUUCAAACCUGGAUUCACUCGUCGAUUCGAUUUAAAUC